GACGAACGCUGGCGGCGUGCUUAACACAUGCAAGUCGAGCGGUAAGGCCCUUUUGGGGGUACACGAGCGGCGAACGGGUGAGUAACACGUGGGUGACCUGCCCUCAGCUCUGGGAUAAGCCUGGGAAACUGGGUCUAAUACUGGAUAUGACCUUUCCUCGCAUGGGGUUGGGUGGAAAGUUUUUCGGCUGGGGAUGGGCCCGCGGCCUAUCAGCUUGUUGGUGGGGUGAUGGCCUACCAAAGCGACGACGGGUAGCCGGCCUGAGAGGGCGACCGGCCACACUGGGACGUGAGACACGGCCCAGACUCCUACGGGAGGCGAGCAGUGGGGAAGUAUUGCGCAAUGGGCGGAAGCCUGACGCAGCGACGCCGCGU
rnacentral:rRNA from 1 species